rnacentral:rRNA from 1 species
CAGCAGGCGCGAAACCUCUGCAAUAGGCGAAAGCUUGACAGGGUUACUCUGAGUGAUGUCCGCUAAGGGCAUCUUUUGGCACUUCUAAAAAUAGUGUAGAAUAAGGGGUGGGCAAGUCUGGUGUCAGCCGCCGCGGUAAUACCAGCACCCCGAGUGGUCGGGACGAUUAUUGGGCCUAAAGCAUCCGUAGCCGGUUCUGCAAGUCUUCCGUUAAAUCCACCUGCUCAACAGAUGGGCUGCGGAGGAUACUACAGGGCUAGGAGGCGGGAGAGGCAAGCGGUACUCAGUGGGUAGGGGUAAAAUCCUCUGAUCCACUGAAGACCACCAGUGGCGAAGGCGGCUUGCCAGAACGCGCUCGACGGUGAGGGAUGAAAGCUGGGGGAGCAAACCGGAUUAGAUACCCGGGUAGUCCCAGCUGUAAACGAUGCAGACUCGGUGAUGGGUUGGCUUCGAGCCAACCCAGUGCCGCAGGGAAGCCGUUAAGUCUGCCGCCUGGGGAGUACGGUCGCAAGACUGAAACUUGAAGGAAUUGGCGGGGGAGCACAAGGGCGAUUCGC